rnacentral:tRNA from 1 species
GGUAAAAUGGCUGAGCAAUAGGCAAUAAAUUGUAAAUUUAUUUACGAAUAAUGAUUCUUUUACCA